GAAAGAUGCAUAAAUAAAUAAAAUGGAUAAAUUUAAUACAUUAACUGCUAGUAAUUCAUGGUCGCUGUGGCGCUAGUGUCGCGUUAUCAGUGUUUUUAAUGCCCAUUACGAAGUUCUCUCACGGUUUGAACACGAAUACCUCUUUAUCCGUUGAAGAAAUAAAAUUAAAAAUUGAAAUAUGAAUAUUGUCGAUGUAGUCUGUUUCGAUUUCAUCGAUUUUCGAACAGAAUACCGAAUUUCCACGAUUCCACGUAGAUAUCUGUAGUACUCGAGGGUUGUUAACCUCUGGACGUGAAUGUCGAUGCCAGCCGCUCAACUGUGGAUGUCGCCUCGAUACGAAAUCUGAUCGAGGGCAAAUGUUUAUCGGCCUGUCGGACAACUGGCGAAAGAGUUAAAAGCAGAGAUGGAAAAGAGGAUAAUGUCGCCGUGUCGAGGAAGAAUCCUGAUCUGCUCAAGUAGUUCUGAUGCAAACUACUGACAAGUCUUAAGAAGGAGGAAAUUUACAGAAGCGAGAAAGGAAUCGAGGUUGAAAAAAAAAAACUAGAAAAAGAGAAAGAAAGGAG